UGGGGAAUAUUGGGCAAUGGGCGCAAGCCUGACCCAGCAACGCCGCGUGAAGGAAGAAGGCUUUCGGGUUGUAAACUUCUUUUCUCAGGGACGAAGCAAGUGACGGUACCUGAGGAAUAAGCCACGGCUAACUACGUGCCAGCAGCCGCGGUAAUACGUAGGUGGCAAGCGUUAUCCGGAUUUACUGGGUGUAAAGGGCGUGUAGGCGGGACUGCAAGUCAGAUGUGAAAACCACGGGCUCAACCUGUGGCCUGCAUUUGAAACUGUAGUUCUUGAGUACUGGAGAGGCAGACGGAAUUCCUAGUGUAGCGGUGAAAUGCGUAGAUAUUAGGAGGAACACCAGUGGCGAAGGCGGUCUGCUGGACAGCAACUGACGCUGAGGCGCGAAAGCGUGGGAGCAAACAGGAUUAGAUACC
rnacentral:rRNA from 1 species